CUACGGGCUGCUCCAGUGAGGAAUAUUGCACAAUGGGGGGAACCCUGAUGCAGCAACGCCGCGUGGAGGAUGACGCAUUUCGGUGUGUAAACUCCUUUUAUAUGUCAAGAAAAUGACGGUAGCAUAUGAAUAAGCACCGGCUAACUCCGUGCCAGCAGCCGCGGUAAUACGGAGGGUGCAAGCGUUACUCGGAAUCACUGGGCGUAAAGGACGCGUAGGCGGGUUAUCAAGUCAGGUGUGAAAUCCUACAGCUUAACUGUAGAACUGCACUUGAAACUGGUAACCUAGAGUAUGGGAGGGGCAGAUGGAAUUAGUGGUGUAGGGGUAAAAUCCGUAGAUAUCACUAGGAAUACCUAAAGCGAAGGCGAUCUGCUGGAACAUAACUGACGCUAAGGCGUGAAAGCGUGGGGAGCAAACAGGAUUAGAUACCCCCGUAGUC
rnacentral:rRNA from 1 species